GACAAUGACAUUGAGUUGCACGAGGUUGUAGAGAUUGUAUUUGUCGUGUUUUUUCUGGUAACCGGGUUAGAACUUUGUGGACGUUUAUGAACGUUUAUGAAGGUGUUGAAGUGUUGAACGGCGUAGGAUCUGUUGUGUAUCAAUUUAAGAGGGGUGUAUGAAGUGUUGUGGUGUGCUGUUAAAUAACAGUUCAGUAUUCAUAUAAGGCGUAUUCGUCGAAACAGUUCUUUAGGAAGUUACAUUACUGUGGGAUUCUUUAUUGCAAUGGCUCGAAAUGCUGAGAAGGCAAUGACAACUUUAGCUCGAUGGAGGGCAGCCCAAGUUAGUGAUACAGUAAAAGAAAGGGAGAGGAGACCGUAUCUUGCAUCUGAAUGUCAUGAUUUACCUAAAGCUGAGAAGUGGAGAAUGCAGAUUAUUCGAGAAAUAGCCAAGAAAGUGGCUCAGAUUCAGAAUGCUGGACUUGGUGAAUUUAGGAUCCGUGAUUUGAAUGAUGAGAUAAACAAACUUCUCCGUGAAAAGGGUGAUUGGGAGAGACAGAUACGAGAACUUGGAGGCCCCGAUUAUGCUAAAGUGGGACCUCGUAUGUUGGAUCACGAGGGCAAGGAAGUUCCUGGGAAUCGUGGUUACAAAUACUUUGGAGCAGCCAAAGAUUUGCCAGGUGUUAGAGAGCUCUUUGAGCAGGAACCACCACCACCUCCUAGAAAGACAAGUGCCGAGCUCAUGAAAGAUAUUGAUGCUGACUACUAUGGUUAUCGAGAUGACGACGAUGGCAUUCUGACACCGCUUGAGCAAAGUGAUGAGAGACAAGCAAUAGGAAAUGCGGUGGCUGAUUGGAAAUUAAAGAAGGAGAUGUCCCAUCAUGGAGAAGCUGAAGGCUUGGGUCAGCCACAGGAAGAGGAAGAGGAGAAUAUUUAUGCUGUGGCACCAGAACCAGAUUCUGAUGAAGAUGAAAAGCAGACAUCAGAAGAAUUACUGCAGCCGAAGUUCAUAGCACAUGUUCCAGUCCCAUCACAGCGGGAAGUAGAAGAGGCACUACUGAGGCGUAAAAAACAGGAACUUAUAGAGAAAUAUGCUAGCGAAAGCUUAAUCAGUCAGUCAGAAGAAGUUAAAGACUUGCUAGGAGUUCAUACAUUAAAACAGUUACUGACAAACUGAUGUACCAAGAAGAAUUAUAUGGGAAAAUGUAUUGGUUGUGGAUGGAGGAGAUGGCCUCCAGAUAUGGAGAGUAGCUGUGAAUAUAUUGAGUAAGCAGUCAUGGACAGCCAACAAGGAGUAGUCCUCCACUCUGGGGUUUGGGCUUGGGGCUAACAACUCAUUCACAGUAAAAAAUACGCUUGCUAUGAAAUGUUACAAAGGGCCAUGGACCUGGAUGGAUUCUUUUGAUAAACAAUCUAAGGUUGUGUCACGGGGGAAACCUACAUAAAGUUGCUGAGGGAAAGUGUCAUCCCAGAACUUCAGAGGAGAGAGAACUUUGAUGAACUGUGGUGGCAGCAAGAUGGGGCCCCACCACACUUUGCCAAUAUUGUUCGGGCAUUCUUGCAUCAAGUUUUUCCUCAACGCUGGAUUGGCCAUCGAGGGCCUGUGGAGUGGCCAGCCCGAUCACCCGACAUCACCCCACCAGACUUUUUCCUUUGGGGUUACCUCAAAGACAAGGUGUACGCUAAUCCCAUUAACAGUGUGAAACAUCU